CCGGUUCUUCAAAACCGUUUGGUAGCGCCCUGGGAAGUUCAACUCU
rnacentral:tRNA from 1 species